UACAGAGGUCCCGAGCGUUGUUCGGAUUCACUGGGCGUAAAGGGUGCGUAGGUGGCAUGGUAAGUUUGAUGUGAAAGCUCAGGGCUUAACCCUGAAAUGGCAUUGAAUACUACUGUGCUGGAGGUUUGGAGGGGGGACUGGAAUUCUUGGUGUAGCAGUGAAAUGCGUAGAUAUCAAGAGGAACACCAGUGGCGAAGGCGAGUCCCUGGACCUGUACUGACGCUCAUGCACGAAAGCGUGGGGAGCAAACAGG
rnacentral:rRNA from 1 species